rnacentral:rRNA from 1 species
AGAUUCAUACUCGUACCUUUUGCAUCAUGAGUUAGCCAGAAAAUCUCAAGCAAAGAGCACUUUAGUUUGAUUCCCCGAAACUACGUGAGCUACUUCAAGACAGCCUAAAAUAGGGCGAACCCAUCUCUGUAGCAAAAGAGUGGGAUGAGCUUCGAGUAGCGGUGACAGACCUAUCGAACCUAGUUAUAGCUGGUUGCCUGAGAAAUGAAUAGAAGUUCAGCCUUUCGAGUUCUCCCCUCAACCCCGUCUUCACCCCCGGACAACCAAAGAAAUCGAAAGAGUUAGUUAAAGGGGGUACAGCCCCUUUAACACAAGAUACAACUAUCCCAGGAGGGUAGAGAUCACAUUCAAAUUCCAAGGUAAAAUGUUUUGGUGGCCCUAAGAGCAGCCACCCCUAUAGAAUGCGUUAAAGCUCAAAUAUAAUUACCACCCCUAAUCCUGACAACCCCAUCUUAACCCCCUAACCUUACCAGGCCGUCCCAUGCAACCAUGGGAGCGACCAUGCUAAUAUGAGUAAUAAGAGGGCAAAUCCGCCUCUCUCCACGCACAAGUGUAACU